rnacentral:rRNA from 1 species
AUGGACAUUGGUAUCAUCUGUGACGAGGGUUCCCCAGGAUCCAUGGAGUCAAGGACAGGAACACCUGUGCCAAAUGAUAAUGACUACCUGAUAGUGAUUCCUUAUGCCCACAUAUUUGACCUCAUGCUGAAAGCUCUAAAGCUACCCCCUGCAACUUACCAUCACAAAAUGUACCCAGGUGGAAAGAAUCGUGUAAUAGUUACUUUCAUUUCUACUUUGGAAUUGCUAGAUGGUUCACUUGUCCCGAGUUCUAUACCAGGUGCAAUCUUAGAUAGCUUGAAGAUGCAGAAGACAGUGCUGCUAUGGAGGCUAUUAGAUACAUGGAAAAUGCAUAUGGCAAAGAAAUGA